rnacentral:rRNA from 1 species
AUUGAACGCUGGCGGCAUGCUUUACACAUGCAAGUCGAACGGCAGCACGGGCUUCGGCCUGGUGGCGAGUGGCGAACGGGUGAGUAAUACAUCGGAACGUGCCCAAUCGUGGGGGAUAACGUAGCGAAAGUUACGCUAAUACCGCAUACGAUCUACGGAUGAAAGCGGGGGAUCGCAAGACCUCGCGCGAAUGGAGCGGCCGAUGUCAGAUUAGGUAGUUGGUGGGGUAAAGGCUCACCAAGCCAACGAUCUGUAGCUGGUCUGAGAGGACGACCAGCCACACUGGAACUGAGACACGGCCCAGACUCCUACGGGGGGCAGCAGUAGGGAAUUUUCGGCAAUGGGCGAAAGCCUGACCGAGCGACGCCGCGUGAGGGACGAAGGCCUUCGGGUUGUAAACCUCUGUCUGGGGGGAUGAGAACGGACGGUACCCCCGGAGGAAGCCCCGGCUAACUACGUG